AUUGAACGCUGGCGGCACGCCUAACACAUGCAAGUCGAGCGGCAGCGCGAUAUGUAGCAAUACAUAUUGGCGGCGAGCGGCGGACGGGUGAGGAACACGCAGGAACCUACCCUCGAGUGGGGGAUAACCAAGGGAAACUUUGGCUAAUACCGCAUGAACUCGAGAGAGCAAAGCUGCCGCAAGGUGGCGCUCGAGGAGCGGCCUGCGUCCGAUUAGCUAGUUGGUGAGGUAAGAGCUCACCAAGGCGAUGAUCGGUAACUGGUCUGAGAGGACGACCAGUCACACUGGGACUGAGACACGGCCCAGACUCCUACGGGAGGCAGCAGUGGGGAAUAUUGGACAAUGGGGGCAACCCUGAUCCAGCGAUGCCGCGUGAGUGAAGAAGGCCUUCGGGUCGUAAAGCUCUUUAGGUUGGGAAGAAGGGUGAUGGAGGAAAUGCUAUCACUUUGACGGUACCGACAGAAUAAGCACCGGCAAACUCUGUGCCAGCCGCCGCAGUAACAC
rnacentral:rRNA from 1 species